AUUGAACGCUGGCGGCAGGCUUAACACAUGCAAGUCGAGCGGGGGAAGGUAGCUUGCUACCGGACCUAGCGGCGGACGGGUGAGUAAUGCUUAGGAAUCUGCCUAUUAGUGGGGGACAACAUCUCGAAAGGGAUGCUAAUACCGCAUACGUCCUACGGGAGAAAGCAGGGAAUCUUCGGACCUUGCGCUAAUAGAUGAGCCUAAGUCGGAUUAGCUAGUUGGUGGGGUAAAGGCCUACCAAGGCGACGGUCUGUAGCGGGUCUGAGAGGAUGAUCCGCCACACUGGGACUGAGACACGGCCCAGACUCCUACGGGAGGCAGCAGUGGGGAAUAUUGGACAAUGGGGGGAACCCUGAUCCAGCCAUGCCGCGUGUGUGAAGAAGGCCUUAUGGUUGUAAAGCACUUUAAGCGAGGAGGAGGCUACUUUAAUUAAUACCUGGAGAUAGUGGACGUUACUCGCAGAAUAAGCACCGGCUAACUCUGUGCCAGCCGCCGCGGUAA
rnacentral:rRNA from 1 species